GCUCUCCUACGGGACGCAGCAGUGAGGAAUAUUGGUCAAUGACCGAAAGGCUGAACCAGCCAAGUCGCGUGAGGGAAGACGGCCCUACGGGUUGUAAACCUCUUUUGUCGGGGAGCAAAGCGAACCACGUGUGGUUCAUUGAGAGUACCCGAAGAAAAAGCAUCGGCUAACUCCGUGCCAGCAGCCGCGGUAAUACGGAGGAUGCGAGCGUUAUCCGGAUUUAUUGGGUUUAAAGGGUGCGCAGGCGGAGGUGCAAGUCAACGGUCAAAUUGCGGGGCUCAACCCCGUACUGCCGUUGAAACUGC
rnacentral:rRNA from 1 species